GAAAACCAUAUCUUGAUCUGUUCUUCUGUGUAUUUUGCUUGAGCAGAGAGAACUGUAAUUUCGGACAUCGUUGGUAACUGCAAGAUGUUUACUGAAUGAGAAUCUCUUGAGAAGAACUGCCAAGACAUGUAAAGGCACAAGGCGGCCGGAGAACGACAGACUCAUCGUAGAGGUUGAGCUCCCCUAAUCUCAAAUUCCAAGAUCCAAAAUGCCCCAAACCCCAGACUUUUGAGCACCCACCUGACACAAGUGGAAAAUUCCACACCUGACUUUGUGACAGACUGCAGUCAAAACGUUGUAGUAUAAAAAUACUAUAUAAAAUUACCCUCAGGCUAUGUGUAUAAGGUGUAUAUGAAACAUAUUUCUUGUUUAGACUUGAAUCCCCUCUCCAAGAUAUCUCACUAUCCUUAUGAAAUAUUUCAAAACUAAAAAAAAAAAAAAAA